rnacentral:rRNA from 1 species
AUGCUUUCCGCCAGAGAACUACAAGUGAAAAACUUAAAACUCAAAGGACUUGACGGUGUCCCACAUCGAUCUAGAGGAGCCUGUCCUAUAAUCGAUAAUCCUCGCUUAACCUAACCUUAACUAGCUACUUCAGCCUAUAUACCGCCGUCGACAGUCUACCCCAUGAGGGAUUAACAGUAAACACAAUAGCUACCCGCUAACACGUCAGGUCAAGGUGUAGCACAUGCUAAGGAAGAGAUUGGCUACAUUUUUUACUUCAAAAAACCACGAAGUGCAGCAUGAAACACUGCAUGAAGGUGAAUUUAGCAGUAAAAUAGACAAGAGAGUCUAUUUUAAUCCCGCCCUGGGACGCG